GGCCCUAUCGUCUAGUGGCCCAGGACGCUGCCCUCUCAAGGCAGAAACACGGGUUCGAGUCCCGUUAGGGCUGCCA
rnacentral:tRNA from 1 species